rnacentral:rRNA from 1 species
AGCGAACGCUGGCGGCAGGCUUAACACAUGCAAGUCGAGCGGACCUUUCGGGGUCAGCGGCGGACGGGUGAGUAACGCGUGGGAACGUGCCUUCCGGUUCGGAAUAACCCUGGGAAACUAGGGCUAAUACCGGAUACGCCCUUAUGGGGAAAGGUUUACUGCCGGAAGAUCGGCCCGCGUCUGAUUAGCUGGUUGGUGGGGUAACGGCCUACCACGGCGACGAUCAGUAGCUGGUCUGAGAGGAUGAUCAGCCACACUGGGACUGAGACACGGCCCAGACUCCUACGGGAGGCAGCAGUGGGGAAUAUUGGACAAUGGGCGCAAGCCUGAUCCAGCCAUGCCGCGUGAGUGAUGAAGGCCUUAGGGUUGUAAAGCUCUUUUAUCCGGGACGAUAAUGACGGUACCGGAGGAAUAAGCCCCGGCUAACUUCGUG